ensembl:lncRNA
GUGAAGCUGUGUGUCUGAAAAAAUGGUCAUAAUUAAGGAGAGGAACACCCUGUGGAGGCUUUCUAAAAGCACAUGUCAGCUUUCUGUCAGCUGCUCAGUGGAAAACAAGAUGAAGUUGGGUGAGGCCACACAGGAAACUAACGUCUCACAGCUGAAAAAGGAAGUGCAAGGGGUUGUCGCAGUCGACCAUCUGCCUCCAUCUUCUCCUAUCCCAGCAUGCUCUUCUGUCACUCCAUCCCUCUGCAUGUUGUCCUGCACUACAUCAUCGAACCUCUGAGGUCUUCCUUCUUUUCCUUCCUCCUUCGUUACUUUGGAUGCUUGACCCCAUCCAAAUGGGAAUCCCCUCCCAUCACACACAGCACCACUUCAUAUGCUUCUCUGCUACUCCUGACUUCCUCAUGCAGUAAAAAAAAAAUAGAUAAAUAAAAAUAUAUUCUUUUAAAUUGUUAAAUAAAUGGUAAAGUUUUUUGUUUUCAGGGUUAACUUCCUGUUUGAUACUUGCCACACCCAUUUAUGACAUGCCACACCAAGAUAUCACAGCUAAGGUUUAUUUAGAAAAAAUAAACAAACAUAAAAAGUAAACAACGUUUAGAUCGAACUCUUUAUUUCCACUUUUGGCAGUAUAUAAACCCUGCCCAUUUUCACUUUUGGCUGAAUGGGACCGUUUUCAAAAAGCUCCGGUCACGCGUAAACACGAUGUAUUGGGGUUUCCGAGGCGGCCAUGAAGGCAGCAAACGGAUCAAGCUGGAGGAGCGUAAAAAGUGAACGCGAGCAGGAGCCGCGAGGACAACAAGUUAGCGCGGAUAAUGGGACCAUUGUGCUCCAGCAAGGCAGACCGCAGGCGUGUUUACUGAGCCGUCACAUGCCGCCGGCCAACUUUUAGCUCGGAUUCAGUCGUCGUUUCGUUCGGCGGGUCAGUUAAAAACAGAGUUCUGCUUUCAGUCGGAUGUCAGUGAGUGAGACAGGUCACUUUUAAAGACAGGCAGGCAGACAGGUCGGCUGCACGGCUUCCGCUGGGGGACAUUUUCGGCUCUGUUCACUUCAAUGUCCACAGUAAACUGCGCGGAGGAGCUGGACUUCAGACUCAUCUUUGAGGACGACGGCAGGCAAACGGCAGGUACGUGUCAUUUUCUCGA